UACGUAGGGUGCGAGCGUUGUCCGGAAUUAUUGGGCGUAAAGGGCUCGUAGGCGGUCUGUCGCGUCUGCUGUGAAAACUCAGGGCUUAACCCUGAGCUUGCAGUGGGUACGGGCAGACUAGAGUGCGGUAGGGGAGACUGGAAUUCCUGGUGUAGCGGUGAGAUGCGCAGAUAUCAGGAGGAACACCAAUAGCGAAGGCAGGCUC
rnacentral:rRNA from 1 species